rnacentral:sRNA from 1 species
UGGAAGAUUCUCUACAUUUAAGAGCAUCAUGUCUAGGAGAACUGAAAAUGGCAACUCUCAAAAUGUGACUGAGAGAAUAGAAGGAGUUGUUGGUGCUAUCGAGAGGGUGGUAGACAUUCUGCACCACAAUGCUACAACUGGACCGAGAGAACAAAUUAGUCUGACUCAUUUUAUGCGUCAUAAUCCUUCCAAGUUUAAUGGGAGCGCAACACCUGAUGAAGCAGAAUACUGGGUCCAAGAAAUCGAGAAAAUCUUUGAGGCUAUAUCUUGCCCAGAAGACAAGAAAGUGAUAUUUGCAACCUUUUUACUGAUUGGAGAGGCAGAAUACUGGUGGAGUGGAUUUAAGCGACUUAUGGAGUCCAACAGGGAAGUUGUCACCUGGGAGAAUUUCAAAGACAA